rnacentral:lncRNA from 1 species
CCUUUUCCAGCGCGGCGGAGGGCGCCCCCUAGAACGCAGAGGGGGGGCAGAGGGAAGUGAGAUGGGGACUACGGGGUCUCCAGUGGUUCAAACCCUGUCGUUCCUCCGCGUUACAGAGCUACAGCGGUCUCCGGGUGGCGAAGUGCGGAGACGGGGUUUUGGAGACGGUGGAUGGAGGAGGGGGAGGGAAAGCUGCCAACUUUGGAUACCAACCCCGUACACCCACCGAAGGGGAUGUCCCACUUUUUCCAGCGCUGGGAGCAAAAAGAUAACAGUGAGCGAGGUUGAAAACACCUGACAGUGAAAAGAGCAAUUUGAAGAAAAACAAAAUUUAUCUUCAAUGUGAAAAGCAAUUUAUAAAAAUCCGAAUACUUGCCAGGAGCAACUUGACAAAAAAGACAAAGGUGGUAGAAGAAAUGUAACCAGCCCACAAUUCCAAUGUUGAUAACAGAUGAGCUCCCUUUCAAGGUGACUGACAUUUACACAAGUACACAGAGCAAGAAGAAGGUCUGAGUGAACUGCCAAGCAUUUUAACUUCUCCUGAGACCAAGUACAUCAACAGUUCUCUUGGAAAAGAACAACUGAUUUGGGAGUCUAGCAGACUGCCAGCUGCAAGACAUUCAUCCAGCAUCAGGAACACAAUGGGCCUUCAUUUGCCUGCCUUUCUGAGGGCACCAAUCAAAAGGAGUCUACUCCUAUGUAAAUCUUCUGCAGGUUGUGCAGUGGACUUCACCUAGUCUCCCAUCUCCAGCUAAUUUGGCCAAGAAUAGUCACCUGGCGCAAGGUGGGGAGGGAGCUCUCAAUUGGCCAGCAACUUCUGACGUGUGACCUGACUGAACAAUGAGAGGCUCGAGUGAAAUUACCAGCUGGUAGUAGGACAGAGGAUAUAGAUACAUGGAAUGGAGCUGAGCCAAAUUAAUGACAAAGGACUAGACAAGAAUGACUGUUGAUGAUCACCUAUGCUGAGAUCACAAAGCUGCCCCGAGUCCAGAAGCAGGUUCACUGAGGGAGGCUCAACCAUGUUACCAAUCUUGUUUGAGAUUAAUGUUCCUUGUUGUAAACCUCAAGUCUGUUUCUUGCAAUCAAACCAUUCUAAAUUGAAACAACUACUUAGAAAGUGUUUCUAUGGGUUCAGUGGGACAUUUCAACCAAAUGAAAUAUGAUAAUGAUCUUAAAUGAACUAACAAUAGUGUUGCAGAAAUAAAAUACAAAUACCAGAAAGAUAGCCAGGCACAGUGGCUCAUGUCUGUAAUCC